AUUGAACGCUGGCGGCAGGCCUAAUACAUGCAAGUCGAACGAGUGGCGGAGGGGUGGGUAAUGUCGGGGCAACUGCCUGACGGAGGGGUAAAACUUCUGUAAACGGUAGAUAAUACCGCACACCAUCGGAUGUGCCCAGAGUGCAUUCGCUGGUAGGGGGGGUAAAGGCUCACCUAGGUGACGAUCCCUAGCUGGUCGGAGAGGAUGACCAGCCCCACUGGAGCUUAGACACGGUCCAGACUCCUACGGGAGGCAGCAGUAGGGAAUAUUGCGCAAUGGACGAAAGCCUGAUGCAGCCAGACCGCGUGUGUGAAGAAGGUCUUCGGGUUGUAAAGCACUGUCAGCGAAGAAGCGUUACUCGCCGAAAAAGCGCCGGCUAACUCCGUGCCAGCAGCCGCGGUAAUAC
rnacentral:rRNA from 1 species